AAGAAAAAAGUUAACUAUUUUCUUACACAUGCCAACAUCUGAUCGAUAGACUUGACACGUGGCAUAAUCCUAUGAAUUAAUAACUUUGAAAACCAUAUUUUAUAUAAUAAGAU
rnacentral:sRNA from 1 species